ACUGAACGCUGGCGGCAGGCCUAACACAUGCAAGUCGAACGAGUGGCGGACGGGUGAGUAAUGUCUGGGAAACUGCCUGACGGAGGGGGAUAACUACUGGAAACGGUAGCUAAUACCGCAUACCAUCGGAUGUGCACAGAUGGGAUUAGCUAGUAGGUGGGGUAAAGGCUCACCUAGGCGACGAUCCCUAGCUGGUCUGAGAGGAUGACCGGCCACACUGGAACGGAGACACGGUCCAGACUCCGACGGGAGGCAGCAGUGGGGAAUAUUGCACAAUGGGCGCAGGCCUGAUGCAGCCAUGCCGCGUGUAUGAAGAAGGCCUUCGGUUUGUAAAGUACGUUCAGCGGGGAGGCGUUACCCGCAGAAGAAGCACCGGCUAACUCCGUGCCAGCCGCCGCGGUAAUA
rnacentral:rRNA from 1 species